CUCUGAGGCUUGGAUGAAGGUGUUAGCAAUGUGUCACCAGGAGUGUUUCAUCUGAAUCAUCGCCUGUUGGACAGUCCUUUGUGGAUCAUAAUCCUCUCUGAUGCGGCUAUCAGCCAAAAUGGUGCUGUCAACAUUUAUGUCAACGCCGAGGUUGUAAUUUUUGACAGUAAUGUUCCUGGGCUUGAUCUAAAACUCUCUGCUCACACUG
rnacentral:lncRNA from 1 species